ACUCAUAGUGAGGAAGCUGUGACCAGCAGAUAGUGAAAAUUAUCAGUGAGCACUGUCUGGGCCAUUGCGAGGUAUCAUCACUGUGCCCAGCGCUGGACAAACCCAUGUGUAUCACAGACUCAUCACAGAAUCACUCUGUAACUCAACCUGGUUAUUCCUUGGAGAUCCAGUGUCAUCCUCGUAUCCACAAUACUUCACAGGCCCCGACUACAAGCCAGAGAAACAGCAUGCUUUAUAUGGAGUCUCAUUUAAGCCCUUCAAUGAGUCUAGGAGAAUUCUCUUGCCAACCUUUGCAGCGAGAGAUAGUAGCUAAAUGCUCAGAAUUAAAGAGCAACCCCCAAAACCUGGAAAAGAGUCUAAGUGAACAAAGCCUGCCUGGAAUGGAAGAGCUCUGAGUGAAGAGAGUCAGCACAGAGAAGCAAACAGAGGACCCUGUAAGGACUACUUAUCAAACUGUAAUCAACAACAACCAUUAACAACCAACAACCAACCAACCAACCAACCAACCAACCAACAAUCAACAACUCCACCUCUCAGGGCCCUUUUUUAUAUAUUCCCUGAAAACUUUCCAGAAUUCCAAACACCACACAAUCGCAUAAAACUGUCUUCAAGUGUCAGAAUCAUGCCCCCACCAGAGCUCAAGGAAAAUCAGUCAGCUGCUUCGUACACGCUGAAGCAGCCCCAUGUCCCACACCUGGGAAUAAAAUGAAAGCACGUUC